rnacentral:lncRNA from 1 species
GGAAACGGAAUCGGAUGCCCGGAUCAUGAGAUACGCCCAAAACCGUCAAAACCUACUGAGCGCACCCCGAACAUGCCCAUUUUUCGGCGUUCAAACCGCCGCGCGGCUACCCCCCCAUCCCGAUGCCCCCGGAACCCUGGUCCCGCGGGACCCGACGGAAACGGAAUCGGAGGCCCGGAUCAUGAGUUACAGCCCCUUCUUUGCGGCCCCCGAGGACGUGCGCUAUAGCCCCCCGGGCCACCCCCCAUCCGGCCGCACCCGCCCGAACCCCACCGAACGCGUCCGCCGCCUCCCGAUCCCGCCCCGCGGUCCCCCCCGGGGCAUGAACCGCCCCCCGGCGGGCCGAAACCGGCCAAACCGGCAAAAACGCCCCGAUCAUGCCCGUUUUUCGGCUUUCAAACCGCCGCGCGGCUACCCCCCCAUCCCGAUGCCCCCGGACCCCUGCUCCCGUGGGACCUGACGGAAACGGAAUCGGAUGCCCGGAUCAUGAGAUACGCCCAAAACCGUCUAAACCUACUGAGCGCACCCCGAACAUGCCCAUUUUUCGGCGUUCAAACCGCCGCGCGGCUACCCCCCCAUCCCGAUGCCCCCGGAACCCUGGUCCCGCGGGACCCGACGGAAACGGAAUCGGAGGCCCGGAUCAUGAGUUACGGCCCCUUCUUUGCGGCCCCCGAGGACGUGCGCUAUAGCCCCCCGGGCCACCCCCCAUCCGGCCGCACCCGCCCGAACCCCACCGAACGCGUCCGCCGCCUCCCGAUCCCGCCCCGCGGUCCCCCCCGGGGCAUGAACCGCCCCCCGGCGGGCCGAAACCGGCCAAACCGGCAAAACCGCCCCGAUCAUGCCCGUUUUUCGGCGUUCAAACCGCCGCGCGGCUACCCCCCCAUCCCGAUGCCCCCGGACCCCUGGUCCCGUGGGACCUGACGGAAACGGAAUUGGAUGCCCGGAUCAUGAGAUACGCCCAAAACCGUCAAAACCUACUGAGCGCACCCCGAACAUGCCCAUUUUUCGGCGUUCAAACCGCCGCGCGGCUACCCCCCCAUCCCGAUGCCCCCGGAACCCUGGUCCCGCAGGACCCGACGGAAACGGAAUCGGAGGCCCGGAUUAUGAGUUACGUCCCCUUCUUUGCGGCCCCCGAGGACGUGCGC